rnacentral:rRNA from 1 species
UUCGCAAUGCCCGAAAGGGUGACGAAGCGACGCCGCGUGCGGGAAGAAGGCCUUCGGGUUGUAAACCGCUGUCGGGAGUUAAGAAAUGCAAGGAUGUUAACAGCGUCCUUGCUUGACUAAGGCUCCGGAGGAAGCCACGGCUAACUCUGUGCCAGCAGCCGCGGUAAUACAGAGGCGGCAAGCGUUGUUCGGAAUUAUUGGGCGUAAAGAGCACGUAGGUGGUUUUGUAAGUCAGAUGUGAAAGCCUUCUGUUCAAAGGAAGAACGGCAUCUGAAGCUACAGAUCUUGAGUGUAGGAAGGGAGAGUGGAACUUCUGGUGGAGCGGUGAAAUGCGUAGAUAUCAGAAGGAACGUCGGCGGCGAAAGCGACUCUCUGGCCUAUUACUGACACUGAGUGUGCGAAAGUUAGGGGAGCAAACGGGAUUAGAUACCCCGGUAGUCCUAACUGUAAACGAUGGGCACUAAGUAGAGGGGUUUU